AAAAAUGAAGUUAAAGACCAACUGAAGAGGUUUUUAUCGAAAUUGAGAUAACUAAUGAUUAUGAUAGUAGAUGGUAUCAAAUAUAGUUCCUAAAAAUUUGAGUUAAAAUAAAUACAUAUUUAUACUAGAAAAAGUCAUUUGAAAGUGUAAAAAAAUUAACGAGAUUUGAAAUGGCUCUGUCAUGGCCGAAAGCGGAAGUGACGUUAUAGUAUGGAAAUCACGGAAAAAUGUCGAGCUCAAGACACUAGAUCUAGCUAGACCGCCUAGAGGAUUCUAGAUCUUGUUUUUUUUUUGUUAUUAAGACCAACUUUACGUAGACAAUUUAGUCUUAUUACUAGAUUAAACCUGACAUUGGCUAAAAGAUGAUCUGACGCGUCCAACAGUGGGUGGCUGCCUGAUUGUGUGUUAUGCCAGCUGGACUGUUAUUUUAUAAGACUGUUGAGCAUCUUUUACUUGCAAAUCUAAAAGCUGAUGCUAUAUAUAUGACACUCAAUGGCUUAGAAGAAAUCCUGGCAGUUUUAUAUGGUUAUGACAAUAAUCUUUAAUAAAUAAGUCUUAUACAAGGACAGUAAAGAUUAUUAUUAUUAUCAUAUACAAGGACAGUAAAGAUUAUUAUUAUUAUCAUAUACAAGGACAAUAAAGAUUAUUAUUAUUAUUA